AUCCGCCUAGCCGCUUCCUUAGCACUGAGUCAGUGACGAGCACAAGGAGCGACCAGCCGCCGCUCGACUGCUGCAGGUAACCAUCCGCCUAGCCGCUUCCUUAGCACUGAGUCAGUGACGAGCACAAGGAGCGACCAGCCGCCGCUCGACUGCUGCAGGUAACCAUCCGCCUAGCCGCUUCCUUAGCACUGAGUCAGUGACGAGCACAAGGAGCGACCAGCCGCCGCUCGACUGCUGCAGGUAACCAUCCGCCUAGCCGCUUCCUUAGCACUGAGUCAGUGACGAGCACAAGGAGCGACCAGCCGCCGCUCGACUGCUGCAGCAGGACGCUGAGCGGCAGCGGGUCGCUGCGCUGCGCGUCGGGCGGCAGUGUGCGAGCACAGCCCGCGCUGCACAUACCCAUCGACAACAGUCGCGCGGGCACGUGCGGGAGACGAGAUGGUGCUUCUAGAUCUGCUGAUG